rnacentral:rRNA from 1 species
GACGAACGCUGGCGGCGUGCCUAACACAUGCAAGUCGAGCGGGGACUUAUGGAAUGAAGCUUCGGCAGAAUGAAGUAAGUUCUAGCGGCGGACGGGUGAGUAACGCGUGAGUAACCUGCCUAUCACUGGGGAAUAACGCACCGAAAGGUGUGCUAAUACCGCAUGAGACCACAGAGGGGACAUCCCACAGGGGUCAAAGAUUCAUCGGUGAUAGAUGGGCUCGCGUCUGAUUAGCUGGUUGGUGAGGUAACGGCCCACCAAGGCGACGAUCAGUAGCCGACCUGAGAGGGUGAUCGGCCACGAUUGGAACUG